UAUGGCCAUAUCAUGUUGAAACACCAGUUCCUGCAUGAUCAUUGAAGUUAAGCAAUGUCAAACCUGGUCAGUACCUAGAUGGGUGACCACUUGGAAAUACCAAUUGCUGUAAG